rnacentral:rRNA from 1 species
GUUGAUCCUGGCUCAGGAUGAACGCUGGCGGCGUGCUUAACACAUGCAAGUCGAACGAAGCAACUUAUCACGAUCCCUUCGGGGUGACGAUUGUUGACUGAGUGGCGGACGGGUGAGUAACGCGUGGGUAACCUGCCUUGUACAGGGGGACAACAGUUGGAAACGACUGCUAAUACCGCAUAAGCGCACAGCUUCGCAUGAAGCAGUGUGAAAAGUUUUUCGGUACAAGAUGGACCCGCGUCUGAUUAGCUAGUUGGUGAGGUAACGGCCCACCAAGGCGACGAUCAGUAGCCGACCUGAGAGGGUGACCGGCCACAUUGGGACUGAGACACGGCCCAAACUCCUACGGGAGGCAGCAGUGGGGAAUAUUGCACAAUGGGCGAAAGCCUGAUGCAGCGAACCGCCGCGUGAGCGAAGAAGUAUUUCGGUAUGUAAAGCUCUAUCAGCAGGGAAGAUAAUGACGGUACCUGACUAAGAAGCACCGGCUAAAUACGUGCCAGCAGCAGC